AUUGAACGCUGGCGGCAGGCCUAACACAUGCAAGUCGAGCGGCAGCGGGAAAGUAGCUUGCUACUUUUGCCGGCGAGCGGCGGACGGGUGAGUAAUGCCUGGGAAAUUGCCCAGUCGAGGGGGAUAACAGUUGGAAACGACUGCUAAUACCGCAUACGCCCUACGGGGGAAAGCAGGGGACCUUCGGGCCUUGCGCGCUUGGAUAUGCCCAGGUGGGAUUAGCUAGUUGGUGAGGUAAUGGCUCCCCAAGGCGACGAUCUCUAGCUGGUUUGAGAGGAUGAUCAGCCACACUGGAACUGAGACACGGUCCAGACUCCUACGGGAGGCAGCAGUGGGGAAUAUUGGACAAUGGGCGCAAGCCUGAUCCAGCCAUGCCGCGUGUGCGAAGAAGGCCUUCGGGUUGUAAAGCACUUUCAGCGAGGAGGAAGGGGUGUGUGUUAAUAGUACACACCUUUGACGUUACUCGCAGAAGAAGCACCGGCUAACUCUGUGCCAGCAGCCGCCGCCGUAA
rnacentral:rRNA from 1 species